AAAUUCAUUCUAUUCUACUGAAUGUGCCAUCGAAAUUAUACAAUCACCAACCCCAGAAUGGACCAUUCUCUCAUUCCAUUUUCUAGAGAGCCUUGGAUAACUGAUUUAUGGCUUCAUGUAUAUGGCCUAUAAGACCAAAUGUCUGGCUGUCUCCAAAACAAGGCAAUGACCACACGUUCAACGCGGAUCAUUCGUUUUGUCAUCGAAAUUGACUCAUUUUAUCUUCUGGAUUGCUCAGGAAACCUGAUUGGCGUUACCUGUUAACUUCAUCUUGUCAUGCCACUGAAUUUAAAUUUCGUUUACAUUUUAUUUCUUGAUCUAGCCAUUUAGGUAAUGACCGGGAAGAUGCGGCCUAUGCAUGAACAUCAUUUAGGCGGCCAGCAUCAUUCGACUACCCAACCGAGUCUCAACACAGCACGGAGUUUUACACUUUAAAUUUUGGCUGUUCGCAAUUUGUGAUGGCGUUUCCUUGGACGAGAUAUGAUUUGGCGAGAAAAAUAUUGCGGACGAUUUCAUGCUGUCCUUUACCAUGGACCAAUCUCUCAUUCCAUCUGAGAACUUUGGAUAACUGAUUGGUGGUUUCAUGUGUUUCUAAAUUGGCAUGACAGACUUUAUGAGAAGUAAUGUCCUUUCAAGAAAGAAACAAGGUCCCUUGUUUGCUAAUCCAAUUGCUGCUACCCUUGAAUCUCCCCUUUUACUUCCUUAAACGGGCCCUCUUGAUUUGAGGGUAAUCCUUUGCUACUUAUUGUGGACUUCAACCAUUGCCUGGAAGCCUGUAAAGCAACCUUGAGAGCAUGCUGUCAUUCAAGACUGUUUAAUUGUGUAGUUAGCUAAAUUGCAAGUGCAUAUCUGGGCUCCCUUCUUUUCUGUGGCCCCGUUUCCCUAACUAACCACUAACCAACGCCCGCCGGUGGUCACUCACCCGCUGUGAAACCAGGAGGAGGGGAGGGCUCUGGUCGAACGGGGACUUGGAAGGCGCAUGAUCCGAUGAAAACUUUUGGAGGGUCAUGAGUCUAACCCGGAAGCCUAGUAUGACUACAUCUCCCCAGUAAAACUUGCCUCGUACUUCUCUCUUCUUCUCGGUCCAGAUAAAUAUCUCUGGGGGCCGUAGACAAAACCUAUAACAGCAUGUGCGAGUUUAUAAGAAGCAACCCACUACCCAAUGAAAGAAAAAGCCGUGGAUUAGUUUAGCGGACAUCUGCGUCCGUCACGCAGAUUUCCGCACAAAUAGACCAUCGCUUUUUGUCUCAUUGCCGCAGCGGUGGUGGCGGGUUUGCAAUAAACUCGUACAGUAGAUAAUGUCUUGAACCGAACGCUCUGUUUAUUGAAUUAUUAAAUAGAAAAAGAAAAAAAGGCUGGUUUAAAAUACAAGGUUUUUUAUUCAUUAUUGACAUUACAUUGAUUGGGCUUAAUAUUGGUUUAUGUGGUUUAGGGUAUAAAUUUGGGGAUUGAAAGGUGUUUGUUUGUGGGGUUUGAAGAAUUGGAAGGUAUAAGUUUGUGGAGUUUGAAGAUUAAUUGGUAGGGAUAUGUUUGUGGGGUUACGGAUUAACUGAUUUUUUAUCCAAACUUAAAUCACCCCUCCCUCCAACAUCCUCCACUUUCCUUUCCCAAUCCCGAAAACAUGUUUAUUAUUUGUUUGACAUGAACAUCCCAUAUUUGUUUUUGUUGCUUCCUCACUUUUAAACGAUAACUAUGCACAGACACGAUGACAAUUUAACAAUAUAUGAUGAUUGAUGAUGCAAAUUUGGUAACACGACACCACCAUCAAGGAACGACCAGUUAAACUUGAUGCAGAAAGAACUGUUGCACACAAAAUGAUGAAUUCUCUCUCUCAUCAGCAACAAAGAAUUGGAUCUGGCGAAGGCAUCAAUAUCUUGAAGAUUAACAACUUGAAAGGGAAAAGUAAAUGUGAAUAUUAUUGUCUUAAAGAACACAGUAAUUCAAAAUAUUUUUGGUAAAAUAGCUAACCUGCAACAGAAAUGACUUUUCUUCAGAAGACAUAGGUUGUGAGCUCGCAUUAUUGGAUUAAACCAUUUCAUUUCUAUUGUCAAGAGCACCUAGUUGACCAGGUACAUGAAAACUUCAGCUGAAAUUAUCUGAAACAUUAAGUCAAGAAUGCAGUAAGAAUCUUUAGCUAAAGAUUAUUUCAUCUAUUACUUAAAAACAGUUACUUGUUAUCCCCAAUGUCCGUUGUUAAACUUUUUAAGUAACUUAUGAAAGUUACGACGUGUAAUGUCAUGUCUGUCUGUGAUUGACUGUGCAUUAGGAUUCAAAACUCAUUACUAGAUGUCGCCAGAGUCGCCGAUGUUGUUCUUUCAUCAUGGUGAAACGAGUCGAAAUGAGCGAAACAAAUUGUUGCUAAUUUAUGCUUAUUCCUGUGAUUUCAAAUACCAAAUUGAACUUCGUAUCUUAUAUGCAUGAUACUGUCAGUCAUUCCAACAAGUUGUUGACUCAGCGCUCAGUCAAUUUCCAUCCAUUAGAUCCUCAUGCUGUUAAAAGCCUAAAACUCAUAUUUGAAGCAAACAUAUUGUGGAAAUGUGGAAUACAAAUGUGCCGAGAUUAGGAUUUUAUCUGAAUCUCGCAAUUUUGGUGGUGUACCCUGCAACAGCACGUUUGUUGUUAUGGCUGUUUUUACUUUGGUUUAGAAGGCAACCCAGCUAAGAGAUAUAGGUAGAGUUAAAUUUCUUAUAGGUAAAUUUGUGUUAAUUUGUAAAUAACG
rnacentral:lncRNA from 1 species